GGCUUAACACAUGCCAGUCGAGGGGCAGCAUUCCAGUUUGCUUGCAAACUGGAGAUGGCGACCGGCGCACGGGUGAGUAACACGUAUCCAACCUGCCGAUAACUCGGGGAUAGCCUUUCGAAAGAAAGAUUAAUACCCGAUGGCAUAAUAGAACCGCAUGGUUUGAUUAUUAAAGAAUUUCGGUUAUCGAUGGGGAUGCGUUCCAUUAGGCAGUUGGUGGGGUAACGGCCCACCAAACCUUCGAUGGAUAGGGGUUCUGAGAGGAAGGUCCCCCACAUUGGAACUGAGACACGGUCCAAACUCCUACGGGAGGCAGCAGUGAGGAAUAUUGGUCAAUGGACGAGAGUCUGAACCAGCCAAGUAGCGUGAAGGAUGACUGCCCUAUGGGUUGUAAACUUCUUUUAUAUGGGAAUAAAGUGGUCCACGUGUGGAUUUUUGUAUGUACCAUAUGAAUAAGGAUCGGCUAACUCCGUGCCAGCAGCCGCGGUAAUACGGAGGAUCCGAGCGUUAUCCGGAUUUAUUGGGUUUAAAGGGAGCGUAGGUGGACAGUUAAGUCAGUUGUGAAAGUUUGCGGCUCAACCGUAAAAUUGCAGUUGAUACUGGCUGUCUUGAGUACAGUAGAGGUGGGCGGAAUUCGUGGUGUAGCGGUGAAAUGCUUAGAUAUCACGAAGAACUCCGAUUGCGAAGGCAGCUCACUGGACUGCAACUGACACUG
rnacentral:rRNA from 1 species